rnacentral:rRNA from 1 species
GACGAACGCUGGCGGCAUGCCUAAUACAUGCAAGUUGAACGAUGAUAUUCUCUGCUUGCCGAGAAUUGAAGAGUAGCGAACGGGUGAGUAACACGUGGGGAACCUGCCCAUGAGAGGGGGAUAACAUUCGGAAACGGAUGCUAAUACCGCAUAAUGCUUUGGACCGCCUGGUCCAGAGACGAAAGACGGCUUUUGCUGUCACUCUUGGAUGGCCCCGCGCCGUAUUAGCUAGUUGGUGAGGUAAUGGCUCACCAAAGCUGUGAUACGUAGCCGACCUGAGAGGGUGAUCGGCCACACUGGGACUGAGACACGGCCCAGACUCCUACGGGAGGCAGCAGUAGGGAAUCUUCCACAAUGGGCGAAAGCCUGAUGGAGCAAUGCCGCGUGAAUGAAGAAGGUCUUCGGAUCGUAAAGUUCUGUUAUUAGAGAAGAACAAGUCAAGGAGUAACUGUCUUGACUUUGACGGUACCUAACCAGAAAGUCACGGCUAACUACGUG